rnacentral:rRNA from 1 species
UCAGGCAUGCCUCAGUACGGCGAGUGAAGCGGCAAAAGCUCAAAUUUGAAAUCUAGCACCUUCGGUGUUCGAGUUGUAAUUUGAAGAUGGUAACCUUGGGUUUGGCUCUUGUCUAUGUUCCUUGGAACAGGACGUCAUAGAGGGUGAGAAUCCCGUCUGAUGAGAUGCCCAUUCCUAUGUAAGGUGCUAUCGAAGAGUCGAGUUGUUUGGGAAUGCAGCUCUAAGUGGGUGGUAAAUUCCAUCUAAAGCUAAAUAUUGGCGAGAGACCGAUAGCGAACAAGUACAGUGAUGGAAAGAUGAAAAGAACUUUGAAAAGAGAGUGAAAAAGUACGUGAAAUUGUUGAAAGGGAAGGGCAUUAGAUCAGACUUGGUGUUUUACGAUUAUCUUCUCUUCUUGAGUUGUGCACUCGUAUUUCACUGGGCCAGCAUCGAUUCGGAUGGCAAGAUAAUGGCAGUUGAAUGUGGCUUCACUUCGGUGGAGUGUUAUAGCUUCUGCUGAUAUUGCCUGUCUGGAUCGAGGGCUGCGUCUUUUGACUAGGAUGCUGGCGUAAUGAUCUAAUGCCGCCCGUCUGA